UACGUAGGGGGCAAGCGUUGUCCGGAGUUACUGGGCGUAAAGGGUGCGCAGGCGGUUAUAUAAGACAGGUGUGAAAUCCCCGGGCUUAACCUGGGAACUGCAUUUGUGACUGCAUCGCUGGAGUGCGGCAGAGGAGGAUGGAAUUCCGCGUGUAGCAGUGAAAUGCGUUGAUAUCCUAAGGAACACCCGUGGCGAAAGCGGCUCACUGGGUCUCUUCUGACGCUGAGGCACGAAAGCUAGGGUAGCGAACGGG
rnacentral:rRNA from 1 species